rnacentral:lncRNA from 1 species
AGUGGGGGAAGAGGCAGGGCCUGGCACGCAGGAAGAGCUCAAGAUCCAUACAGAAGGGGUUUGCCAGAUGCUGGUUGAUGAGUGAACAGAGAAACAAGCUCAAAGCACUUUAGAGGUCGCUUAGCUUGGAUCGUCCCUGGCAGUUUACAGAGGAGAAAACAGAGGCAGAGUGAUUUGCUCGGGGUCAGAGUCAGGAUGCAACCUGGAGGUUUUGACUUCUGUCCAAGGCUCUUUCCACCCCCUCAAAUGGCAGCAGCUGGGUGGAGGAGGGAACCCUGCCUCCCUUGAUGCCAUGUUGGCCCUAGGCUAGGAAGGGCAGUGUUCAGUGUCCCUCACAGCAGACAUCUCUGCCAAUCACUGAGCAUCAAGAUCUUCCGUUCCAGCUUCUGAAGCUUCGUUCAUUUUCCUUGUUCAUGGUAGAACUUCAAAAAAAAAAAGAAAGUGUGUGGGAUUGAAUUGAAUUGAGUUGAAUUUCUCUGGGCCUUGAUUGCUCCAUCUGUAAAACGGGAGCGAUCCUUCAUUUAUUCACUCGUUCAUUGAACAAAUGUUUGUAGAGCCUCUGUGGAUCCUGUUUGGGCCUACAGUGGACACUGAGGCUGCAAAGAUGGCCAUAGUGAGAGCUCUGCACACACACAGCUCGGAGAACCUCAACGAUCCGUCAACAAUGCCUGAUCUUUUUUCGCUUGCUGGGGCCUGCACGGGAGCAGGGACAUGGGACUUGGGAGAACACAGCCGAGGGGCUGUUUGUUUGGCUUGGGACAGAGAUAAAGAAAGUUCACAGGGGACGUGGCCUUUGAGCUGCCUUCUGAAGGAUAACUAGGUGCGCGGGGUUUAUUGGCCUUGCUGCUCUUUAGAGAUUGCUCUUGGCUGACGAUGCCCUGUGUAUGACAGGCCUUGUUGGGAGCAGGCGCAGAGAUUAUUUCAGAGCUCGAGGUUUGUGCUGCUUUAAUGUGAUGACGCUUCCUCUUGCCAAGCCCUUGCAACCCCUAUUUCGACUCCUGCCCCUAGUGUGGGGUUGCCAGACUU